rnacentral:rRNA from 1 species
AUUGAACGCUGGCGGCAGGCCUAACACAUGCAAGUCGAGCGGAUGAAGGGAGCUUGCUCCUGGAUUCAGCGGCGGACGGGUGAGUAAUGCCUAGGAAUCUGCCUGGUAGUGGGGGAUAACGUCCGGAAACGGGCGCUAAUACCGCAUACGUCCUGAGGGCGAAAGUGGGGGAGCUUCGGACCUCACGCUAUCAGAUGAGCCUAGGUCGGAUUAGCUAGUUGGUGGGGUAAAGGCCUACCAAGGCGACGAUCCGUAACUGGUCUGAGAGGAUGAUCAGUCACACUGGAACUGAGACACGGUCCAGACUCCUACGGGAGGCAGCAGUGGGGAAUAUUGGACAAUGGGCGAAAGCCUGAUCCAGCCAUGCCGCGUGUGUGAAGAAGGUCUUCGGAUUGUAAAGCACUUUAAGUUGGGAGGAAGGGCAGUAAGUUAAUACCUUGCUGUUUUGACGUUACCAACAGAAUAAGCACCGGCUAACUUCGUG